UACGGAGGGAGCUAGCGUUGUUCGGAAUUACUGGGCGUAAAGGGCGUGUAGGCGGCCAACUAAGUCCGACGUGAAAUCCCCAGGCUUAACCUGGGAACUGCGUCGGAUACUGGAUGGCUUGAAUCCGGGAGAGGGAUGCAGAAUUCCAGGUGUAGCGGUGAAAUGCGUAGAUAUCUGGAGGAAUACCGGUGGCGAAGGCAGGUCUCUGGGCUGACACUGACGCGUCGAUGCACGAAAGCCGUGGGGAGCAAACAGG
rnacentral:rRNA from 1 species